rnacentral:lncRNA from 1 species
UUAGAGUUAAGGGGUGGGGUUUAGGAUUUAGGGUUUAGGGUUUAGGGUUUGGGGUUUAGGAUUUAGGGUUUAGGGUUUAGAGUUAAAGGGUGUGGUUUAGGGUUUAGAGUUAAGGGGUGGGGUUUAUGAUUUAGCGUUUAGGGUUUAGGAUUUAGGGUUUAGGGUUUAGAGUUUAGGGGUGGGGUUUAGGGUUUAGGGUUUAGAGUUAAGGGGUGGGGUUUAGGAUUUAGGGUUUAGAGUUUAGGAUUUAGGGUUUAGAAUUUAGGGUUUAGGGUUUAGGGUUUAGAGUUUAGGGGUGGGGUUUAGGGUUUAGGGUUUAUAGUUAAAAGGUGGGGUUUAGUAUUUAGGGUUUAGGAUUUAAGGUUUAAAAUUUAGGAUUUAGGGUUUAGAGUUGGGGAGUGGAGUUUUGGGAUAAGAUUUCAAAUUUUGAAAAAUAAAAAAAAUUUAAAUUUUUCAAAAGAUAAAAUGCUAUUUUGGUCUUUUUAGUUUUUGAGGGCUAUUUUUGUGACAUAAACUUAGAAAUGUGCUACUUUGGAGAUUUGCCCUUGAUUUUAUGAAUAAUUUUAUUUAUCGAAAAUA